GACGAACGCUGGCGGCGUGCCUAAUACAUGCAAGUAGAACGCUGAAGAGAGGAGCUUGCUCUUCUUGGAAGAGUUGCGAACGGGUGAGUAACGCGUAGGUAACCUGCCUUGUAGCGGGGGAUAACUAUUGGAAACGAUAGCUAAUACCGCAUAACAAUGGAUGACACAUGUCAUUUAUUUGAAAGGGGCAACUGCUCCACUACAAGAUGGACCUGCGUUGUAUUAGCUAGUAGGUGAGGUAACGGCUCACCUAGGCGACGAUACAUAGCCGGCCUGAGAGGGUGAUCGGCCACACUGGGACUGAGACACGGCCCAGACUCCUACGGGAGGCAGCAGGAGGGAAUCUUCGGCAAUGGGGGCAACCCUGACCGAGCAACGCCGCGUGAGUGAAGAAGGUUUUCGGAUCGUAAAGCUCUGUUGUAAGUCAAGAACGAGUGUGAGAGUGGAAAGUUCACACUGUGACGGUAGCUUACCAGAAAGGGACGGCUAACUACGUGCCAGCCGCCGCCGUAA
rnacentral:rRNA from 1 species